GAGUUUGAUCAUGGCUCAGAUUGAACGCUGGCGGCAGGCCUAACACAUGCAAGUCGAGCGGUAGAGAGAAGCUUGCUUCUCUUGAGAGCGGCGGACGGGUGAGUAAUGCCUAGGAAUCUGCCUGGUAGUGGGGGAUAACGCUCGGAAACGGACGCUAAUACCGCAUACGUCCUACGGGAGAAAGCAGGGGACCUUCGGGCCUUGCGCUAUCAGAUGAGCCUAGGUCGGAUUAGCUAGUUGGUGAGGUAAUGGCUCACCAAGGCGACGAUCCGUAACUGGUCUGAGAGGAUGAUCAGUCACACUGGAACUGAGACACGGUCCAGACUCCUACGGGAGGCAGCAGUGGGGAAUAUUGGACAAUGGGCGAAAGCCUGAUCCAGCCAUGCCGCGUGUGUGAAGAAGGUCUUCGGAUUGUAAAGCACUUUAAGUUGGGAGGAAGGGCAGUAAUUAAUACUUUGCUGUUUGACGUUACGACAGAAUAAGC
rnacentral:rRNA from 1 species